CCCUUAGAUGUUCUGGGCCGCACGCGCGCUACACUGAUGCAUUCAACGAGCACCCGCUGGGCCGAGAGGUCCGGCUAAUCUUUGAACGUGCAUCGUGCUGGGGAUAGAUGAUUGCAAUUAUUCAUCUUCAACGAGGAAUUCCUAGUAAACGCAAGUCAUCAGCUUGCAUUGAUUACGUCCCUGCCCUUUGUACACACCGCCCGUCGCACCUACCGAUUGAAUGGUCCGGUGAAAUUCUCGGACGCGGACUUGCGAUGUUAAUUCGGAGCUUGACUGUGAAAGUUAAUUAAACCUUACCAUUUAGAGGAAGGUGAAGUCGUAACA
rnacentral:rRNA from 1 species